CCGACGGUGAGGGGUGAAGCCCUGGGGCGCAAACGGGAUUAGAUACCCCGGUAGUCCAGGGUGUAAACGCUGCGGGCUUGGUGUUGGGGGUCCUUUGAGGGCGCCCAGUGCCGGAGAGAAGUUGUUAAGCCUGCUGCUUGGGGGAGUACGUCCGCAAGGAUGAAACUUAAAGGAAUUGGCGGGGGAGCACCGCAACGGGAGGAGCGUGCGGUUCAAUUGGAUUCAACACCGGACAACUCACCAGGAGCGACGGUUACAUGGAGGCCAGGCUGAUGACCUUGCCUGAAUCGCUGAGAGGAGGUGCAUGGCCGUCGCCAGUUCGUACUGUGAAGCAUCCUGUUAAGU
rnacentral:rRNA from 1 species